rnacentral:lncRNA from 1 species
GAGAAGUACAAAGUGUUAGCAAAGUAAAGGCGGGGCAAACAAACGACACAAGAAGUGCAUAAAUCACCCCCUUUAAAACAAAAAACAAAUAGAGAGAUAAAAACGAAGGAAAGGAAAAGUUAUAAACUCCAAAAACCAUUGAGACCACAAUUAGAGCCAAGGUAGAACUCAUAACAAAGAACCACCAUAUACACAACAACAUCC